rnacentral:sRNA from 1 species
CGUAUCUUAUGAUCAUCAAAUCUAUUAAUUCUGCGUAAAUGUAUCUAACAGUGGGAAUACACAAAUCAUAAAAUAUAUUGACAUCAUGCUAAAACAUUUGCGUUUAAAAAUAACUAAUAUUCUCUUUUGAUUUUGUUUUGGAAAAGAGGCCGGUAACUGCUAGUAUUUCAUGCAUUACAUCAUCAAACAAUAUCUAUAAAUGUUUAUCGGUAUAAUCGGGUAGUUUAUAAACAUACACUUAAAUUUUCUACACUCAAACCUGAGAGUAGGUUUAGUGAUCUUCUUAAAGUACUUCAGCGUGGAACGGUGAACAAGGGAGAACGAAUGCCACUACAUUUAUAGAUGUGAAGUCUGAAAGUACUUCAAAUAGAGAAAAAUCUACAUUGUACAACAAACGUUAAAUAGACGCGGUUUUUAUUUGUAUUUCUAUCUUUUUACAACUUUAUAGAAUUAAGUUCUACAUUCAUGUACUCGUUAAUGUGCAAUUUUUUCCUUUAACCGAUUGGUUUCUGUGCUAUUUGUCUUAAUAAAUAUGUUAUUUUGUUGAAGUCAUUUUUGUAUUUAUUCUGACUAAAUUGCUCUUUAUUAUUAUGUCCAGCCGAUAUUUGCUUUGCUUACAAAGGCUUUAUAUAUUGCCUGAUCUUAUUUAAUCAAAAGUGUGUUAUGAUAUUGUACACAUUUGUUCAUGAGGUAUACAAAACAAGAACGUAUAUUAUUAUUGACAUCUAUGAAUUAAAUUUUGUUAUAGAUUUUUUUAGCAUUGUUCAGUAACAUGUCUAUUCCUUUGAUGUAAUGAAUAAAAAUUGAG